rnacentral:rRNA from 1 species
GUGGGGAAUAUUGGGCAAUGGGGGAAACCCUGACCCAGCGACGCCGCGUGAGGGAAGAAGGCCUUAGGGUCGUAAACCUCUGUUGUGUGGGAAGAAGAGCGUGACGGUACCACACGAGGAAGUCCCGGCUAACUACGUGCCAGCAGCCGCGGUAAUACGUAGGGGACGAGCGUUGUCCGGAUUUACUGGGCGUAAAGGGCGCGUAGGCGGUCAUUUAAGUCAGCUGUGAAAUGGUGCGGCUUAACCGCAUCAUGCGGUUGAAACUGGAUGACUGGAGUGCUGGAGAGGCAAGUGGAAUUCCCAGUGUAGCGGUGAAAUGCGUAGAUAUUGGGAAGAACACCGGUGGCGAAGGCGACUUGCUGGCCAGCAACUGACGCUGAGGCGCGAAAGCCAGGGGAGCAAACGGGAUUAGAUACCCGAGUAGUCC